UACAGAGGUCUCAAGCGUUGUUCGGAUUCAUUGGGCGUAAAGGGUGCGUAGGCGGCGCGGUAAGUCGGGUGUGAAAUCUCGGAGCUUAACUCCGAAACUGCAUUCGAUACUGCCGUGCUUGAGUACUGGAGAGGAGACUGGAAUUCCCGGUGUAGCGGUGAAAUGCGCAGAUAUCGGGAAGAACACCCGUGGCGAAGGCGGUUCUCUGGGACGGUACUGACGCUGAGACGCGAAAGCGUGGGGAGCGAACAGG
rnacentral:rRNA from 1 species